GUCCCCAAGAUGAAGAGUUCAUCUCCAUCAUCCUCUGCACUGGAAUUUGUUCUGUCCUGCAUCCAGGUCUGGGGUGGCACUGGGCUGUGGGGUUUGCUGAGCUCGAGGUGACCAGGCUCAUCUUUAAACUGAAUCUAGUUCAUUGCUGAGCCUGGCUUAGCCACAGCAGUGCUGGGAUGGCUGUGCUGGGGCCCCAGGGCAGUGAGGCUUCUAAACCUCCCCAGGAAUUGAGGCUUCCAAACCUCCCUGGGAAAGCACUUCCAGUGCUGCAUCCCCACAUCCCACCUGCAUCCCUGCAGCCACAGCCCAGCCCCUGGUAAGCAUUGCUUGUUGGUGACAGUGAGGUGUCCUGGGCUGUAAAAGAGAAAAAAGAUAAUCAUUCUGAAAAAUGACCUCGGAAUGCUGGAAAGUAAAUUUAAGUCAAAUGAUCCAACACAAUGUUUGUUUUUAAUGUCAGUAUUAGUGAAAAGUUAAUUUAGGUCUAUGUGUGCGUGCGUGUCUGUCUGCUGUGGGCAGUGCUCUCACUCAGUGCAUGAUCCCAAAGCUGCUCAUGAACUUUUGGUGUUGGUGUUUAUAUCAAUUUAUCAUUUGGGAGCAAAAAGAAUUUUGUUUUUUUUUUUGAAUCUGCAUUUUAUCCAGUGAGAGCUGUACACAGAACCCAAAGAACAAUUGUCUUACCUAGAGAUGGAAAAGGAGCUGCUGUGUGUGUUUGCUGUGCUUUGCUGUGCAUCCAUAGGACACACAUUCCACUUGAGUGCUGCUGAGGAGGAGCAGCAGAGAGGACUCAGCCAGAGGGGUCUGCACUCCCCAUCCUGCCCUGGCUGCCAUCAAAGCUGGGCACUGGUUCCAUUUCUCAUCUGCAAAGGAAGGUGAGGAGGAUUCCAGAGAUUCCUCCCAGCCAAACUGCUGCCUGCCAUCGGAGCCCAGGAGCCCAGGGAGCAGCAGAGCCUGGCAGCCUGGUCAGAUCCUGGCACCCACCACCCACCAGAUGCUCCUGGACUGUGACAAACCACCGUGGGCAAGCCCAGCAGUGCCCCAUGGGCAGCACCAGCCUCCUCCUGCCCCACAUGGGGCACGGGCUCUGCUCCCCUUUGGGCUGCUGCCAGUGGGUGAAGUCAGGAGAUCCACAAAAAUCCUCUCCCAAAAAGGACAUUUUGGUGGCAAGGCGUGCACUCAGCUCAAAGCAAACCUGUGCCAGCACUGGAGGAUUCUGGCAGCUUCCUGCAAGGCACCUGCUGCCCUCACCUCCCUUCUGCUCGCUCGUGUCCAGCUCCUGCUGCCUCUGUUGUAUCCCAGACCUGUGAUUGUGGGCAUGUUGUAUAUAAAUAAAAAAAUAAAAGCCUUGGAGCUCAAGGAGCCGA